UACGGGGGGGGCAAGCGUUGUUCGGAAUUACUGGGCGUAAAGGGCUCGUAGGCGGCCAACUAAGUCACACGUGAAAUCCCUCGGCUUAACCGGGGAACUGCGUCUGAUACUGGAUGGCUUGAGAUUGGGAGAGGGAUGCGGAAUUCCAGGUGUAGCGGUGAAAUGCGUAGAUAUCUGGAGGAACACCGGUGGCGAAGGCGGCAUCCUGGACCAACACUGACGCUGAGGGAGCGAAAGCCAGGGGAGCAAACGGG
rnacentral:rRNA from 1 species